GACGCACGCUGGCGGCGCGCCUAACACAUGCAAGUCGAGCGAGAACCAUUCCUUCGGGAAUGGGGACAGCGGCGAACGGGUGAGUAACACGUGGGUAAUCUACCCUCGGCUCUGGGAUAGCCCGGGGGAAACCCGGAUUAAUACCGGAUAGCCUCUUGAGCCUUCGGGUUCUUGAGAAAAGGUAGCUUCGGCCUCCGACCGAGGAUGAGCCCGCGGCGGAUUAGCCUGUUGGCGGGGUAACGGCCCACCAAGGCUACGAUCCGUAGCUGGUCUGAGAGGACGAUCAGCCACACUGGGACUGAGACACGGCCCAGACUCCUACGGGAGGCAGCAGUGGGGAAUCUUGCGCAAUGGGCGAAAGCCUGACGCAGCGACGCCGCGUGCGGGAAGAAGGCCU
rnacentral:rRNA from 1 species